rnacentral:rRNA from 1 species
GACGAACGCUGGCGGCGUGCUUAACACAUGCAAGUCGAACGGAAAGGCCCUGCUUUUGUGGGGUGCUCGAGUGGCGAACGGGUGAGUAACACGUGAGUAACCUGCCCUUGACUUUGGGAUAACUUUAGGAAACUGGGACUAAUACCGGAUAGGAGCUCCUGCUGCAUGGUGGGGGUUGGAAAGUUUCGGCGGUUGGGGAUGGACUCGCGGCUUAUCAGCUUGUUGGUGGGGUAGUGGCUUACCAAGGCUUUGACGGGUAGCCGGCCUGAGAGGGUGACCGGCCACAUUGGGACUGAGAUACGGCCCAGACUCCUACGGGAGGCAGCAGUGGGGAAUAUUGCACAAUGGGCGGAAGCCUGAUGCAGCAACGCCGCGUGCGGGAUGACGGCCUUCGGGUUGUAAACCGCUUUCGCCUGUGACGAAGCGUGAGUGACGGUAAUGGGUAAAGAAGCACCGGCUAACUACGUG